CAGCACAAAGGGGAGCCGAAGCUCCCCUUUAAUUUUUCGUUUCGCGUGCUCUUUUUUUAUUAUUGAGGGGCGGUCUGUUGUUGUUUUUGGUGACCGUGACCCUUUACCGCUGUUUUUUGUCGAUCCCCAUCCGGGAUCAAGAGCAAACGUAUUUUUUUGAGCGCUGAUCUACUUUUUCGCUGAGCGAUCCAACCAGUUCGGGAGCUACCUGAAGGUAGUU
rnacentral:misc_RNA from 1 species